CGGUUAAGACACCGCCCUUUCACGGCGGUAACACGGGUUCGAAUCCCGUACGGGUCAUCA
rnacentral:tRNA from 1 species